ACGGCUCAGUAACACGUGGAUAACCUACCCUAAGGUGGGAGAUAACCCCGGGAAACUGGGGAUAAUACCCCAUAGUCUAUGGAAGCUGGAAUGCUCUAUAGUUGAAAGAUUUAUCGCCUUAGGAUGGGUCUGCGGCCGAUUAGGUAGUUGUUGGGGUAACGGCCCAACAAGCCUUUGAUCGGUACGGGUUGUGGGAGCAAGAGCCCGGAGAUGGAUUCUGAGACACGAAUCCAGGCCCUACGGGGCGCAGCAGGCGCGAAAACUUUACAAUGCGGGAAACCGUGAUAAGGGAACUCCGAGUGCCCGUAAACGCGGGCUGUCCAUCUGCUUAAAAAACAGGUGAAGAAAGGGCCGGGCAAGACCGGUGCCAGCCGCCGCGGUAAUACCGGCGGCUCGAGUGGUGGCCACUAUUACUGGGCUUAAAGCGUCCGUAGCUUGGUUGUUAAGUCUCUUGGGAAAUCUGUCGGCUUAACCGACAGGCGUUUAAGGGAUACUGGCAAUCUAGGGACCGGGAGAGGUGAGAGGUACUCCAGGGGUAGGAGUGAAAUCCUGUAAUCCUUGGGGGACCACCUGUGGCGUAGGCGUCUCACCAGAACGGCUCCGACAGUGAGGGACGAAAGCUGGGGGGGCAAACCGGAUUAGAUACCCGGGUAGUCCCAGCCGUAAACGAUGCGCGUUAGGUGUAUCGGUGACCACGAGUCACCGAGGUGCCGAAGGGAAACCGUGAAACGUGCCGCCUGGGAAGUACGGUCGCAAGGCUGAAACUUAAAGGAAUUGGCGGGGGAGCAC
rnacentral:rRNA from 1 species